rnacentral:misc_RNA from 1 species
GAUGAAGAACGCAUUGAAAUGCGAUAAUUAAUGUGAAUUGCAGAAUUCAGUGAAUCAUCGAGUCUUUGAACGCACAUUGCGCCCCCUGGUAUUCCGGGGGGCAUGCCUGUCCGAGCGUCAUUGCUGCCCUCAAGCACGGCUUGUGUGUUGGGCUUCCGUCCCUGGCAACGGGGACGGGCCCAAAAGGCAGUGGCGGCACCAUGUCUGGUCCUCGAGCGUAUGGGGCUUUGUCACCCGCUCCCGUAGGUCCAGCUGGCAGCUAGCCUCGCAACCAAUCUUUUUAACCAGGUUGACCUCGGAUCAGGUAGGGAUACCCGCUGAACUUAAGCAUAUCAAUAAGCGGAGGA